AUCAGUCAGUGGAGAAGAUGGGAUCUCACAGACUGGGCACCCUGGCUCCCUGCCCUGGCAGGGCCCCUCCUUUCCACAAUUUUACUUGUGACCAUUGGCUCCUGCAUACUAAAUACCCUGAUGUGCUAUCAAAAUCCACUACCUUGGGACUGCAUCAACUCCAUUCUGUGCCCUGAUUGUUGGUUAGGUUCAACAAUGAUCAUGCAUUGUUUCCUAGAAAGACUGGAACCAAACCCUCUUGCACAACCCAGCCCCCACACCAAAACACAACCACUAUGAGAACUUCUGUGGCUGGCACCAUUGAGUCUGCAUGCAAACAAGAAGUGUUACAGGGGCACCUGGAUGGUUGAGUCCCACAAGCUUCCAACUUCGGCUCAAGUCAUGAUCUCAUGGUUCCUGAGUUCCAGCCCCGCAUCGGGCUCUCUGCUGUCAGCAUGGAGCCCCCUUUGGAUCCUCUUUGCCCUUCUCUCUCUCUCUCUCUGCCCUUCCCUCCACUCGUGCUCUCUCUCAAAAAUAAAUAAAAAUAAAAUAAAUAAAAUAAAAUAAAAUAAAAUAAAAAAGAAU